rnacentral:misc_RNA from 1 species
UUUCGACCAGCUUAGAUCUGUUGAGCAGCUUGGUUACAUCACAUCACUUUCACGGACGAGUGAUGCUGGUGUUCGUGGACUGCAGCUUAUAGUUCAAUCAUCAGUCAAGGAUCCUAGAUAUAUCGAGUCGCGAUUCCAGGCAUUUCUUAAGACGUUGGAAACUCAGCUUCAUGACAUGUCAGAUGAUGAGUUUAAGAAAAAAGUCAAUGCUCUUAUUGAUAUUAAGCUUGAGAAGUUUUAAAACUUACCGGAGGAAACCAAUUUUUUUCUGGUGGGAAAUUUCUAG